rnacentral:rRNA from 1 species
GGGUUGUGAGGUUAAGCGACUAAGCGUACACGGUGGAUGCCCUGGCAGUCAGAGGCGAUGAAGGACGUGCUAAUCUGCGAUAAGCGUCGGUGAGGUGAUAUGAACCGUUAUAACCGGCGAUUUCCGAAUGGGGAAACCCAGUGUGUUUCGACACACUAUCAUUAACUGAAUCCAUAGGUUAAUGAGGCGAACCGGGGGAACUGAAACAUCUAAGUACCCCGAGGAAAAGAAAUCAACCGAGAUUCCCCCAGUAGCGGCGAGCGAACGGGGAGGAGCCCAGAGCCUGAAUCAGUGUGUGUGUUAGUGGAAGCGUCUGGAAAGGCGUGCGAUACAGGGUGACAGCCCCGUACACAAAAAUGCACAUAUUGUGAGCUCGAUGAGUAGGGCGGGACACGUGGUAUCCUGUCUGAAUAUGGGGGGACCAUCCUCCAAGGCUAAAUACUCCUGACUGACCGAUAGUGAACCAGUACCGUGAGGGAAAGGCGAAAAGAACCCCGGCGAGGGGAGUGAAAAAGAACCUGAAACCGUGUACGUACAAGCAGUGGGAGCCUCUUAAUGGGGUGACUGCGUACCUUUUGUAUAAUGGGUCAGCGACUUAUAUUCUGUAGCAAGGUUAACCGAAUAGGGGAGCCGAAGGGAAACCGAGUCUUAACUGGGCGUUAAGUUGCAGGGUAUAGACCCGAAACCCGGUGAUCUAGCCAUGGGCAGGUUGAAGGUUGGGUAACACUAACUGGAGGACCGAACCGACUAAUGUUGAAAAAUUAGCGGAUGACUUGUGGCUGGGGGUGAAAGGCCAAUCAAACCGGGAGAUAGCUGGUUCUCCCCGAAAGCUAUUUAGGUAGCGCCUCGUGAAUUCAUCUCCGGGGGUAGAGCACUGUUUCGGCAAGGGGGUCAUCCCGACUUACCAACCCGAUGCAAACUGCGAAUACCGGAGAAUGUUAUCACGGGAGACACACGGCGGGUGCUAACGUCCGUCGUGAAGAGGGAAACAACCCAGACCGCCAGCUAAGGUCCCAAAGUCAUGGUUAAGUGGGAAACGAUGUGGGAAGGCCCAGACAGCCAGGAUGUUGGCUUAGAAGCAGCCAUCAUUUAAAGAAAGCGUAAUAGCUCACUGGUCGAGUCGGCCUGCGCGGAAGAUGUAACGGGGCUAAACCAUGCACCGAAGCUGCGGCAGCGACACUAUGUGUUGUUGGGUAGGGGAGCGUUCUGUAAGCCUGUGAAGGUGGCCUGUGAGGGUUGCUGGAGGUAUCAGAAGUGCGAAUGCUGACAUAAGUAACGAUAAAGCGGGUGAAAAGCCCGCUCGCCGGAAGACCAAGGGUUCCUGUCCAACGUUAAUCGGGGCAGGGUGAGUCGACCCCUAAGGCGAGGCCGAAAGGCGUAGUCGAUGGGAAACAGGUUAAUAUUCCUGUACUUGGUGUUACUGCGAAGGGGGGACGGAGAAGGCUAUGUUGGCCGGGCGACGGUUGUCCCGGUUUAAGCGUGUAGGCUGGUUUUCCAGGCAAAUCCGGAAAACCAAGGCUGAGGCGUGAUGACGAGGCACUACGGUGCUGAAGCGACAAAUGCCCUGCUUCCAGGAAAAGCCUCUAAGCAUCAGGUAACAUCAAAUCGUACCCCAAACCGACACAGGUGGUCAGGUAGAGAAUACCAAGGCGCUUGAGAGAACUCGGGUGAAGGAACUAGGCAAAAUGGUGCCGUAACUUCGGGAGAAGGCACGCUGAUAUGUAGGUGAAGCGACUUGCUCGUGGAGCUGAAAUCAGUCGAAGAUACCAGCUGGCUGCAACUGUUUAUUAAAAACACAGCACUGUGCAAACACGAAAGUGGACGUAUACGGUGUGACGCCUGCCCGGUGCCGGAAGGUUAAUUGAUGGGGUUAGCGGUAACGCGAAGCUCUUGAUCGAAGCCCCGGUAAACGGCGGCCGUAACUAUAACGGUCCUAAGGUAGCGAAAUUCCUUGUCGGGUAAGUUCCGACCUGCACGAAUGGCGUAAUGAUGGCCAGGCUGUCUCCACCCGAGACUCAGUGAAAUUGAACUCGCUGUGAAGAUGCAGUGUACCCGCGGCAAGACGGAAAGACCCCGUGAACCUUUACUAUAGCUUGACACUGAACAUUGAGCCUUGAUGUGUAGGAUAGGUGGGAGGCUUUGAAGUGUGGACGCCAGUCUGCAUGGAGCCGACCUUGAAAUACCACCCUUUAAUGUUUGAUGUUCUAACGUUGGCCCGUAAUCCGGGUUGCGGACAGUGUCUGGUGGGUAGUUUGACUGGGGCGGUCUCCUCCUAAAGAGUAACGGAGGAGCACGAAGGUUGGCUAAUCCUGGUCGGACAUCAGGAGGUUAGUGCAAUGGCAUAAGCCAGCUUGACUGCGAGCGUGACGGCGCGAGCAGGUGCGAAAGCAGGUCAUAGUGAUCCGGUGGUUCUGAAUGGAAGGGCCAUCGCUCAACGGAUAAAAGGUACUCCGGGGAUAACAGGCUGAUACCGCCCAAGAGUUCAUAUCGACGGCGGUGUUUGGCACCUCGAUGUCGGCUCAUCACAUCCUGGGGCUGAAGUAGGUCCCAAGGGUAUGGCUGUUCGCCAUUUAAAGUGGUACGCGAGCUGGGUUUAGAACGUCGUGAGACAGUUCGGUCCCUAUCUGCCGUGGGCGCUGGAGAACUGAGGGGGGCUGCUCCUAGUACGAGAGGACCGGAGUGGACGCAUCACUGGUGUUCGGGUUGUCAUGCCAAUGGCACUGCCCGGUAGCUAAAUGCGGAAGAGAUAAGUGCUGAAAGCAUCUAAGCACGAAACUUGCCCCGAGAUGAGUUCUCCCUGAGACUUAGAGUCUCCUGAAGGAACGUUGAAGACGACGACGUUGAUAGGCCGGGUGUGUAAGCGCAGCGAUGCGUUGAGCUAACCGGUACUAAUGAACCGUGAGGCUUAACCUUACAACGCCGAAG